UUAAACCCUCUCAAUUAAAACCUCCGCAGAGGACAGCGGUCCCCAAUUCGCAGCCGUAGUCGUAGUCGCAGCCGCAGCCGCAGCCUCCCAUUGGAGUCGCCGGUCGUUUUUUGUCGCUCAGCCAUAGCCGCCCACAAACUCGAAGUCACCGGACCACUGACGCCCUGCUCACUCACCGCUCCGGCCGCCUCUCACUGUCUCCCUCACGCUCUCCGGCGACGACCUCCGCACCUCUCAAGAGUGCAGCCAGCAGUGUUCAUCCUUCAUUCACAAAACAUUUGAUGCCGUAGAUGGAAAACAAGCUAGACGAAAGGGAGUUUUUUUAUCAUGGUAAUACUCUUUCACUAUUUUUUGCAUCAUCAUUUUAUUCAUUUUUUUAAAAAUUAUUUUCUAUGUACUUCCUGUGUUACUAUUUGAAUGCUGACUACUACACUUUUGAUAAGUGACAUUACUUCCACAAACUAUCCAAGAUGUGAUGCACUUGCAUGUACGUUAUUUCAUCAACACUCUAAAUGGAAUGGAGAUAUGGGCCUAAGUUCUGAAGGGAGAGAGAGACUAGUGUAGACUCACAGCAACGUGCCCAAAGUUCAACAACGAUUAAAGAGCUGCUAAAGGAGAACCAUAAUGUAAAACACAUGAGGGAAAUCUUUCAGAAGUCAGAAACAAUCUUCUCUUCUUUCAAAACUUACCAGGCAACUCAGUAUCCACGAUAAUCGAGCAGCUUCUGCCUCCAACUACUCAAAUGGUGAAGCAGGUAAAUAUUAGGCUUAAUACUCUCUCCGGUUUUGAACUCCACAUUUAGUGUGUUUGGAAAGGGCAAAUUGUGUAUCAAGUUGUAUAGAGUAGGUAUGCAUUUGAUUAGAACUUUGUAAACAUUUAGACUUGGUGAUUGGAAUUGUUCAUUGUAUUUUGAAGUAGAUGAUGAAUUUUUGUGUAUUUUGAAAUAUUUUACAUACUAGUAAAAGAUGAUUAUCUUAAUGAAUUGAUCUUUGGUAUUUAUGGUGUUUAAA